rnacentral:rRNA from 1 species
UGCAGUCGAACGGCAGCAUGAUCUAGCUUGCUAGAUUGAUGGCGAGUGGCGAACGGGUGAGUAAUACAUCGGAACGUGCCCUGUAGUGGGGGAUAACUAGUCGAAAGAUUAGCUAAUACCGCAUACGACCUGAGGGUGAAAGUGGGGGACCGCAAGGCCUCAUGCUAUAGGAGCGGCCGAUGUCUGAUUAGCUAGUUGGUGAGGUAAAGGCUCACCAAGGCGACGAUCAGUAGCUGGUCUGAGAGGACGAUCAGCCACACUGGGACUGAGACACGGCCCAGACUCCUACGGGAGGCAGCAGUGGGGAAUUUUGGACAAUGGGGGCAACCCUGAUCCAGCAAUGCCGCGUGUGUGAAGAAGGCCUUCGGGUUGUAAAGCACUUUUGUCCGGAAAGAAAUCGCACUUACUAAUAUUAGGUGUGGAUGACGGUACCGGAAGAAUAAGGACCGGCUAACUACGUGCCAGCAGCCGCGGUAAUACGUAGGGUCCAAGCGUUAAUCGGAAUUACUGGGCGUAAAGCGUGCGCAGGCGGUUGUGCAAGACCGAUGUGAAAUCCCCGGGCUUAACCUGGGAAUUGCAUUGGUGACUGCACGGCUAGAGUGUGUCAGAGGGGGGUAGAAUUCCACGUGUAGCAGUGAAAUGCGUAGAGAUGUGGAGGAAUACCGAUGGCGAAGGCAGCCCCCUGGGAUAACACUGACGCUCAUGCACGAAAGCGUGGGGAGCAAACAGGAUUAGAUACCCUGGUAGUCCACGCCCUAAACGAUGUCAACUAGUUGUUGGGGAUUCAUUUCCUUAGUAACGUAGCUAACGCGUGAAGUUGACCGCCUGGGGAGUACGGUCGCAAGAUUAAAACUCAAAGGAAUUGACGGGGACCCGCACAAGCGGUGGAUGAAGGUGGGAUUAAUUUCGAUGCAACGCGAAAAACCCUUACCUACCCUUUGACAUGCCACUAACGAAGCAGAGAUGCAUUAGGUGCUCGAAAGAGAAAGUGGACACAGGUGCUGCAUGGCUGUCGUCAGCUCGUGUCGUGAGAUGGUUGGGGUUAAGUCCCGCAACGAGCGCAACCCUUGUCUCUAGUUGCUACGAAAGGGCACUCUAGAAAGACUGCCG